CUGCUGCCUUCCGUAGGAGUUUGGACCGUGUCUCAGUUCCAAUGUGGGGGACCUUCCUCUCAGAACCCCUACGCAUCGUGCCUCGGUGGGCCGUUACCCCGCCGACUAGCUAAUGCGCCGCAUGCCCAUCCACCACCGGGAUCGCUCCCUUUGACCCCCCAGGGAUGUCCCUAAAGGGUGUCAUGGGGUAUUAGGCGGCAUUUCUACCGGUUAUCCCCCUGUGACGGCCAGGUUGCAUACGUGUUACUCACCCGUGCGCCGGUCGCCGGCUGUUGG
rnacentral:rRNA from 1 species